rnacentral:misc_RNA from 1 species
UUACAACCUACUACCUCG